CAGCAGCCGCGGUAAUACGGAGGGGGCUAGCGUUGUUCGGAAUUACUGGGCGUAAAGCGCACGUAGGCGGCUUGGUAAGUUAGAGGUGAAAGCCUGGAGCUCAACUCCAGAAUUGCCUUUAAGACUGCCGAGCUAGCAGGUGAGAGAGGUAAGUGGAAUUCCGAGUGUAGAGGUGAAAUUCGUGGAUAUUCGGAAGAACACCAGUGGCGAAGGCGGCUUACUGGCUCAUACUGGACGCUGAGGUGCGAAAGCGUGGGGAGCAAACAGGAUUAGAUACCCCGGUAGUCCCUGUCUCUUAUAC
rnacentral:rRNA from 1 species